rnacentral:rRNA from 1 species
CCUACGGGUGGCAGCAGUGGGGAAUAUUGCACAAUGGGGGAAACCCUGAUGCAGCAACGCCGCGUGAAGGAAGACGGUUUUCGGAUUGUAAACUUCUGUUCUUAGUGAAGAAUAAUGACGGUAGCUAAGGAGCAAGCAACGGCUAACUACGUGCCAGCAGCCGCGGUAAUACGUAGGGGGCAAGCGUUAUCCGGAUUUAUUGGGUGUAAAGGGGGCGCAGGCGGCGUUGCAAGCCAGGAGUGAAAGGCCGGGGCCCAACCCCGGGACUGCUCUUGGAACUGCGUUGGUUGAGUGGAGGAGGGGCAAGCGGAAAUCCUGGGGUAGCGGGGAAAAGCGUAGAUAAUAGGAGGAACACCCGUGGCGAAGGCGGCCUGCUGGGCUUUUACUGACGGUGAGGCCCGAAAGCGUGGGGAGCAAACAGGAUUAGAUACCCCUGUAGUC